UUCUACAAUAGCUCUUCUCCUCCUUCUGUGACGACGAGACGAUGUCGGCGAUCACAUCUCCUCUCCUCUCAGGUUUUCACAGUUAUGAUUUCUUUGUCUCACUCUCAUCUGGAUCUCCGUGGCUAGCUUUCUCUCAACCUCUCUAUGGCAGGGUUGGAAGCUUGAGAGUUGUUCAUUCUUGAUAAUGAUAUGAGACUUUAAAUUGAUGGCCUUGAGACUGCAUAUUGUUCAAACCAAAAGCAUUGGGUUCUUGAAGGAAGAUGCUAGACGAUGGAGCAUCCAUUUCAACCUUGAAGAGAUAUUGCAGUGAACAAUUCAAAUUUUGGUAUGGAUGUUGAAGACUAUGUUGUUGGUGGGUGUUCUAACAUUUCUUUAAAUAUGAUUGCAUACGAAUGACGUUGCUGUGAAAAAAGUCAAAAAAGUAACAUGUUGAUGCAAUUUUGUUUCGUGAUCAACUAGAAAUACACAAACAUUUGAUUCAGUCUAGUAGGCUUAGUUGCAUAGAUAUUUGAAGAAUUAAGUCAGCAUGCUAGUAAUUGCUAUAUGGCUGAUUUUGUCUUGGUGACUUAUGCUAUCACCCAAAGUUGGAGGUCCUAUCCUUGCUAGUUGUUUGGGAACAUAGAGACGUGGAGAUGAAUCUGCACUUUGUGUUUCCCUUGUCCAAUGGUUCCCGCGAGCCCUUUUUCAUCAUGAGUGUUUUGAUUUGCUUUCUGGUUCGUUCAAUGUAUAGUAAAAUAUCGCUAUAUAAUUUAUUUCCUCUUAUUUUGUAGCGGGAGUAGCUAUCUUCAUUUUACUAAUCUCAUUUUAUUCAACUCGUGAAGUACAAGGAGUCACAGAGGCAUGGGCUUGGUGACGUAAGGCAUGGGCUGAAUUGAAGAUGGGAGUGUAGUAGAUUGUAGUUCAAUUGUUUUGCUCUAUUUCUACUGUUGUUAUUUAGGCUUCAGAUCUUGAUUGUAGUUCAGUUUUUUUUUUCUUCCUUCUUGUACUUGGCAUUUAGUUUGUUUUAUUUUUUUUACCUUAAAUACUUGGCAUUUAGUUUUAAUGUAUUGCUUUUGAU